UAACCAAAAUGACAAAAAUGGCUUAAAAACACAUUGAUUCUAAUAUGGGUCAUUUUUGACCCACUUAUAGAAGAGUGUAGGGUCCAGUCACUCGUGCAUCUAAGGAUGCACAAUUUUUAC